CAGUCGACGCUUCUUUUUCACCGGAGCUUGCUCCACCGGAAAAAGAGGAGUGGCGAACGGGUGAGUAACACGUGGGUAACCUGCCCAUCAGAAGGGGAUAACACUUGGAAACAGGUGCUAAUACCGUAUAACAAUCGAAACCGCAUGGUUUUGAUUUGAAAGGCGCUUUCGGGUGUCGCUGAUGGAUGGACCCGCGGUGCAUUAGCUAGUUGGUGAGGUAACGGCUUACCAAGGCCACGAUGCAUAGCCGACCUGAGAGGGUGAUCGGCCACAUUGGGACUGAGACGCGGCCCAAACUCCUACGGGAGGCAGCAGUAGGGAAUCUUCGGCAAUGGACGAAAGUCUGACCGAGCAACGCCGCGUGAGUGAAGAAGGUUUUCGGAUCGUAAAACUCUGUUGUUAGAGAAGAACAAGGAUGAGAGUAACUGUUCAUCCCUUGACGGUAUCUAACCAGAAAGCCACGGCUAACUACGUGCCAGCAGCCGCGGUAAUACGUAGGUGGCAAGCGUUGUCCGGAUUUAUUGGGCGUAAAGCGAGCGCAGGCGGUUUCUUAAGUCUGAUGUGAAAGCCCCCGGCUCAACCGGGGAGGGUCAUUGGAAACUGGGAGACUUGAGUGCAGAAGAGGAGAGUGGAAUUCCAUGUGUAGCGGUGAAAUGCGUAGAUAUAUGGAGGAACACCAGUGGCGAAGGCGGCUCUCUGGUCUGUAACUGACGCUGAGGCUCGAAAGCG
rnacentral:rRNA from 1 species